UACCCAAUUUAAAAUUUACUACAGGAAGAAAUUCAGCAGGCAAAGAAGCAAUUGGAUAAAAAGGAUGUCGACUACGAGGCAGCAUUGUCCACAAAAUUGUCGAUUGCUAGAAAAAUAUUCAAUUUAGAAAAGGAAAAAGUGCUAAACUCCAGUUCUUUCCAGCAGUUCUUAUCUGAAAACGAGGAAUGGUUGAAACCA